rfam:Fulmarus glacialis contig55857, whole genome shotgun sequence.
AAAAAGGCUUUUCUUAAAGCCAUAGCAGAAAUACCUCACAAGUGUUU